GACGAACGCUGGCGGCGUGCUUAACACAUGCAAGUCGAGCGAUGAUGUUCCUUCGGGAACGGAUUAGCGGCGAACGGGUGAGGAACACGUGAGGAAUCUGCCUUCUACUCUGGGAUAACUCCGGGAAACCGGGGCUAAUACUGGAUAUGAAACUUGGUGGCAUCACCGAGUUUGGAAAGUUUUUCGGUAGAAGAUGACCUCGCGGCCUAUCAGCUUGUUGGUGAGGUAAUGGCUCACCAAGGCGACGACGGGUAGCCGGCCUGAGAGGGCGACCGGCCACACUGGGACUGAGACACGGGCCCAGACUCCUACGGGAGGCAGCAGUGGGGAAUAUUGGGCAAUGGGAGGAAACUCUGACCCAGCGACGCCGCGUGCGGGAUGAAGGGCCUUCGGGUUGUAAACCGCUUUCAGCAGGAAAGAAGCGAAAGUGACGGUACCUGCAGAAGAAGCACCGGGCUAACUAUGUGCC
rnacentral:rRNA from 1 species